GUACUGUGCGAACGUUAUUCGGAAUCACUGGGCUUAAAGGGUGCGUAGGCGGCGAGGGCAAGUAGGAUGUGAAAUCUUCCGGGCUCAACCGGAAAACUGCGUUCUAAACUGCCUGGCUUGAGUGAGAUAGGGGUGUGCGGAACUUCCAGUGGAGCGGUGAAAUGUGUUGAUAUUGGAAGGAACGCCGUUGGCGAAAGCGGCACACUGGGUCUCAACUGACGCUGAGGCACGAAAGCCAGGGUAGCGAACGGGAUUAGAUACCCCGGUAGUCCUGGCUGUAAACGUUGAGCACUAGUCGGGAGGGGCUUCGGCCCAUCCGGACGCAGCGAAAGCGAUAAGUGCUCCGCCUGGGGAGUAUGGUCGCAAAGGCUG
rnacentral:rRNA from 1 species